rnacentral:tRNA from 1 species
UACGUUUUAGUAUAUGAUGUACAAAGGUUUUUGAUGCCUUGAGGGACAGGUUGCCCUGUCAGAUGUAA